UACGUAGGGGGCUAGCGUUGUCCGGAAUCAUUGGGCGUAAAGAGCGCGUAGGCGGCCAGAUAAGUCCGGUGUGAAAGUCACAGGCUCAACCUGUGAAUGCCGCUGGAAACUGUCUGGCUAGAGUCCGGGAGGGGCGAGUGGAAUUCCUGGUGUAGCGGUGAAAUUCGUAGAUAUUCGGAGGAACACCAGUGGCGAAGGCGGCUCACUGGCUCGACACUGACGCUGAGGUGCGAAAGCGUGGGGAGCAAACAGG
rnacentral:rRNA from 1 species